rnacentral:rRNA from 1 species
UAGGGAAUCUUCCACAAUGGACGCAAGUCUGAUGGAGCAACGCCGCGUGAGUGAAGAAGGUUUUCGGAUCGUAAAGCUCUGUUGUUGGUGAAGAAGGAUAGAGGCAGUAACUGGUCUUUAUUUGACGGUAAUCAACCAGAAAGUCACGGCUAACUACGUGCCAGCAGCCGCGGUAAUACGUAGGUGGCAAGCGUUGUCCGGAUUUAUUGGGCGUAAAGCGAGCGCAGGCGGAAUUAUAAGUCUGAUGUGAAAGCCCACGGCUCAACCGUGGAACUGCAUCGGAAACUGUCAUUCUUGAGUGCAGAAGAGGAGAGUGGAAUUCCAUGUGUAGCGGUGGAAUGCGUAGAUAUAUGGAAGAACACCAGUGGCGAAGGCGGCUCUCUGGUCUGCAACUGACGCUGAGGCUCGAAAGCAUGGGUAGCGAACAGG